UACAGAGGUCUCAAGCGUUGUUCGGAUUCAUUGGGCGUAAAGGGUGCGUAGGUGGCGCGCUAAGUCAGGUGUGAAAUUUCGGAGCUUAACUCCGAAACUGCAUUUGAUACUGGCGUGCUUGAGGACUGGAGAGGAGACUGGAAUUCCCGGUGUAGCGGUGAAAUGCGCAGAUAUCGGGAGGAACACCAGUAGCGAAGGCGGCUCGCUGGGCCACACCUGACGCUGAGACGCGAAAGCUAGGGGAGCGAACAGG
rnacentral:rRNA from 1 species